CACCGCGGUUAUACGAGAGGCCCAAGUUGACAGACACCGGCGUAAAGCGUGGCUAAACAUGGUCCCUCACUAGAGCCAAACACCCCCAAAGCUGUCAUACGCAAACGGAGGCAGGAAGUCCCACCACGAAAGUGGCUUUAUUUGAUUUGAGCCCACGAGAGCUAGGGGA
rnacentral:rRNA from 1 species